rnacentral:rRNA from 1 species
GAUGAACGCUGGCGGCGUGCCUAAUACAUGCAAGUCGAGCGAACGGACGAGAAGCUUGCUUCUCUGAUGUUAGCGGCGGACGGGUGAGUAACACGUGGAUAACCUACCUAUAAGACUGGGAGAACUUCGGGAAACCGGAGCUAAUACCGGAUAAUAUUUUGAACCGCAUGGUUCAAAAGUGAAAGACGGUCUUGCUGUCACUUAUAGAUGGAUCCGCGCUGCAUUAGCUAGUUGGUAAGGUAACGGCUUACCAAGGCAACGAUGCAUAGCCGACCUGAGAGGGUGAUCGGCCAAACUGGAACUGAGACACGGUCCAGACUCCUACGGGAGGCAGCAGUAGGGAAUCUUCCGCAAUGGGCGAAAGCCUGACGGAGCAACGCCGCGUGAGUGAUGAAGGUCUUCGGAUCGUAAAACUCUGUUAUUAGGGAAGAACAUAUGUGUAAGUAAAUGUGCACAUCUUGACGGUACCUAAUCAGAAAGCCACGGCUAACUACGUG